rnacentral:rRNA from 1 species
AUUGAACGCUGGCGGCAUGCCUUACACAUGCAAGUCGAACGGCAGCACGGGAGCAAUCCUGGUGGCGAGUGGCGAACGGGUGAGUAAUAUAUCGGAACGUGCCCAGUCGUGGGGAUAACGUAGCGAAAGCUACGCUAAUACCGCAUACGAUCUAUGGAUGAAAGCGGGGGAUCGCAAGGACCUCGCGCGAUUGGAGCGGCCGAUAUCAGAUUAGGUAGUUGGUGAGGUAAAGGCUCACCAAGCCGACGAUCUGUAGCUGGUCUGAGAGGACGACCAGCCACACUGGGACUGAGACAGGCCCAGACUCCUACGGAGGCAGCAGUGGGGAAUUUUGGACAAUGGGCGCAAGCCUGAUCCAGCAAUGCCGCGUGCAGGAUGAA